CUACGGAGGAUGCAAGCGUUAUCCGGAUUUAUUGGGUUUAAAGGGUGCGUAGGCGGUUUGCUAAGCGGGAGGUGAAAUGCCGGCGCUCAACGUCGGAAGUGCCUCCCGAACUGGUGGACUGGGAUGACUCUGCCGUGGGAGGAAUGUGUAGUGUAGCGGUGAAAUGCUUAGAGAUUACACAGAACACCGAUUGCGAAGGCAUCUCACGAAGGGUUGAUUGACGCUGAGGCACGAAAGCGUGGGGAUCAAACAGGAUUAGAUACCCUGGUAGUCCACGCAGUAAACGAUGAUGGCUAACCGCUGGUUUUUUCGGAUCAGUGGCCAAGCGAAAGCGAUAAGCCAUCCACCUGGGGAGUACGACCGCAAGGUUGAAACUCAAAUGAAUUGGCGGGG
rnacentral:rRNA from 1 species